rnacentral:rRNA from 1 species
CGGCUCUUAUAUCUGCUAUAAUGUACUUGAUGUUGAUUAUCCAACGUGGAUAACUGUGGCAAUUCUAGAGCUAAUACAUGCACCAAAGCUCCGACUUUUGAACGAGCGCAUCUAUUAGAUUAAAACCAAUCGGGUUAUUAGCCCGUUAAUUGGUGACUCUGAAUAGCUAUGGCUGAUCGCAUGGUCUUGUACCGGCGACGUAUCUAUCAAGUGUCUGCCUUAUCAACUUUCGAUGGUAGUUUAUGUGCCUACCAUGGUUGUAACGGGUAACGGAGAAUAAGGGUUCGACUCCGGAGAGGGAGCCUGAGAAACGGCUACCACAUCCAAGGAAGGCAGCAGGCGCGCAAAUUACCCACUCUCAGAAUGAGGAGGUAGUGACGAAAAAUAACGAGACCGUUCUCUUUGAGGCCGGUUAUCGGAAUGGGUACAAUUUAAACCUGUUAACGAGGAUCUAUGAGAGGGCAAGUCUGGUGCCAGCAGCCGCGGUAAUUCCAGCUCUCAAAGUGUAUAUCGUCAUUGCUGCGGUUAAAAAGCUCGUAGUUGGAUCUGCGUCUCAGGACCUGGUCCAUCCAUUGGAUGAGAACUGGGCUCCUAGGCUAAUAUUGCCAGUUUUCCAUACGUUACCUUGAUUGGUUGCGUAUGGUGGCUAGCAAGUUUACCUUGAAAAAAUUAGAGUGCUCAAUGCGGGCUAAUGCCUGAAUACUCGUGCAUGGAAUAAUGAAAUAGGAUCUCGGUUCUAUUUUGUUGGUUUUCUGAUCUGAGAUAAUGGUUAAGAGGGACGGACGGGGGCAUUCGUAUCGCUGCGUGAGAGGUGAAAUUCUUGGACCGUAGCGA